GCUCUCUCGCGUGGCCCAGUGGUCCAUCUCUCUUCUGCUCGGCCCAGUGGUCCAUCUCUUCUUGGCACGAGCAACUCACCGCCGCCGCGGCGCCGCCGCAACCUUCUUCUCCGGUGGCACCGCGAUUCGUUUCCCAUCGUUCUGGCGUUCUCCGCUUCAACCGUUCCAUACUUCUUUGCUUUCCGGUGCUCAGGCGUCGAUUCUUAUCUUCGUGCUUACGUGAAGGCGGACUCGACUUGUUCGCAGAGAACAAUAGUCUCCUGGCACAUUGUGAGGAUGCGUUUUGCGUCUUUUGUACGAGACGGGCGAGUAGAGCCUGAUCUGUUUCAUCAUCGUAGUAAAUACUGAAGAUUGAUUUUUUUUUUAAUUGGAGAUUAGAUUUUUUGCGUCAUCCAAAUUUUGCAGACUAAUUAAUGUGAUUGUGUAUUUGGUUUUAACUUGCCUGUCAUCAUUAGUUGUCUUACACUCCUGCAGUAGAGAUUUGGGGACAGUUUACCAUUGAUGUGUUUUGCUGUAUGAAAUUGGGUAUUGAAUAAGCGCUUUAGCUGAGUAGCUAAUGAAAAUAAAAGGAUGUGCAUGGCUUAGUGAGCUAUUCUGCUUAUUCAAGAGAUAACAAGUUAAAUUUAUCUUCUUCGGUGUAAAAAAAGAUGACAUAUUCUUGACCAAAUCGGUACACAAUGUAUAAAGGUGUAUGUCAUUUUCGUUGCUUGCGAAGCACAAGUAUGAUGCAAGUAACAAUAGCAAGCCACUAACUCCCUGUUAAUCAUGUUGUGCCAACUAGUUUAAUUGAUUUGUUUCAUCAAGAAUCACCGGCAUUGGAAAAUGCUCGAGAAUUCACUACUCACCUUGAGAAUUUAGGUAACCGGUGCUUAGUUGUAUUGCACUACUGCUUAUUGUUGACCAGUUCACAAGGAAUAACAUUCAAGUUAGAGCUUGGAUUCGCUGGGGUUAGAUAUCUAGCUUUAGCUGUAUGUGUAUUCUUUCUUGUUUGAGAUAAUUUAUAUUUUCUUUUGAGACAAGGUUUUAUAUGACAGCGAAAAUGCAUAUGUAUAGAGCAGGACCACGUGUUUCUGCCUGCAUCUGUUUUUGUUCUUCCAUCAUGAGUUGCAGUUUGUCAUAUCAGAAAAUUGUGCUCGUCUGAAGCAUCGUAUCAUUUAUCAUUUGACAUUUUAUUCAUUCUGGCGCUCCUAAUUUAUCAGCUCCGUACUAUAUUCUUUUCCUGGAUCAAACUCACAGUCUCCUUAUAGAAUUAGCGGUUGUGGUCAUGCCCAGCCAUGAUUUCCUUCGUCAUGACCAACACCACGUUCUUGAUCAUGAUCUGGAAAUCACAGAAGGCGUGGAUAUUUGGCCUCCACUUUAUUUUGUGCUUGAUAUUCUUAUCCUGUAAUUUUCUGCAUUAUUUGUUGUAACUGGUCUGUCAAAUUAAGUUACAGAAAGGGAACUGAAGAUCCAUUUCUCAAAGGUGGUUAAGGUGUCUUUUCCUGUUAUGGUUAUUUCUCCACGAUGUAUGUCUAAAUCAUCACUUUCCAGGUUUCCUAAAACUAUAUGACAUCACCACCUAGUCUGACUUGACCGGAGCUUCACAGUAACAAAUUGUAUUUUGGGUACCGCAUCGAAUUAUCUACAAUAUAAAAGGAAAGGCUGGAGGAGAUUCUUAUAGGACAGUUUGAGGUUGAAUUCUUGUGUAGGCAAUGAGUUGGCUGCAGAAAGCCCAGCAGAAUCCACGUUCAGACUAGAAGCGCUUCCAGAGACUUUUGAGGUGUUCAGAUGUCGGUAUCUAUGUAGGCUUCCUAGCUACCUCGGAGACAUAGCAGAGCAGCUUUCAGCACCUUUGUAUGAGUGUAUGACUAUCGAGUCUUGGAAUCCAUUCUAGUGCAGGUGCAGGACAUUGGUGAAAAGUGACGUGGGCCAAGCAACACCGAUGAUAGGAACUCUGAUGAAUGGCGACAUUAUCUUUGAUGUGUGCUGCUUUUGAACGAAUGGUACCGUGCGAUUGUGAAGCUUGGUGCUUGUAUUUCGUUCAAAAAAAAAUGCUUGGUACCUGUAUUGAGCUCUUGAGUUGGAUGUCGACCACAAUCUAUACUGGUAUUUCGAAAGCUCUGGUAGUAAACAAUGUCAGAACAGAUCGUUAUCCUCUAGAGAACAAGUUGAGCUGU